GACUCCGCCCAUUUGAUCCCCUCGGGAUGCGAAGUCACGGUCCUUGGCAUGGGAGUCGGACUCUCUAACCAGAAGGCUAAAACCCAGGGCUCUGGCCUUGUGACCAGUGAAUCCUUUUGAGCUGUUGGGAGUGAGAAGGUUAAGAAGAAGAA